UUUCAAUAGUUUUCGGGUUUUUUGGGACACCCUGUACAGUACAUGUAGUGGCAAAUACUUAAUAUGCAUGAAUAUAUAAUUAAACUAAUUAACGUGCUCCAAUUUUCAAUGGUACUUUAAUAAUGAGAACGAGAAUUACCGCAUAAUGCAUUGGGAUAGAACUAACAAUACGUAUACAUAUUACCAAAUCCAUUCAUUUUCAACGUGGGCUAUUCAAAAAAAAACUGAAGGAAAACGUAGCUGGCGAUGAAUCACGCAUAUAUCAUAGGAUUUCGUCGAUUUUAGUUCAAUAGUUUUGAAAAAAAAAGUUUAGAAAAAAAAGCUUGUGCAUAUAAGGGAC